rnacentral:misc_RNA from 1 species
AUUUUUUUAAUUCAGCCCAGAGGACCUGGCUACAAGUCAAGCUUUUAGUUUGAUACUCUUUUAGUCUUCAAAGUAGAGAUCAAUUGUGUGUAUAUUGUGUUAAUAUGGUAAAUGAGAUUAGAUCUUGAUGUUGGAGUUGGAGGAAGAUUUUAGAAGUGAUUGACUUUUUAAGGAGACAGAUGGGCAAUACUUGCGUAGGUCCUAGCAUUUCCAAGAAUGGAUUUUUUCAAUCAGUAUCUGCUGCAAUGUGGCGUACCCGAUCACCAGAUGACAAUAUUUCUCAGGCUAAUGGAGAAUCUGUCCAUGAGAUAACAUCUAAAGAACCAGUAUCACCUUUGCCUGUCCAAAAUAGUCCCCCAGAACAAGUAAUGAUGCCAAAACCAGAAAAACCUGAGAAACCAGAACAACCCUCGAAACCUAAGAAAGGCCCUCAAAUGAAAAGAGUGUCUAGUGCAGGGCUCAAGGUAGAAUCUGUUUUACAAACUAAAACGGGUAAUUUCAAGGAGUUCUAUAGACUUGGGAAGAAACUAGGACAAGGGCAAUUUGGUACAACAUUUCUUUGUGUUGAUAAAGCAGCUGGAAAAGAGUAUGCGUGCAAAUCUAUUGCAAAGAGAAAAUUGUUAACUGAUGAGGAUGUGGAGGACGUUAGAAGGGAAAUUCAGAUAAUGCACCAUUUGGCUGGUCAUCCAAAUGUCAUAUCUAUUAAAGGGGCAUAUGAGGAUGCAAUGGCAGUCCAUGUUGUUAUGGAGCUAUGUGCAGGUGGUGAGCUCUUUGAUAGGAUUGUUCAGCGUGGGCAUUAUUCAGAAAGACAGGCAGCUGAGCUCACUAGGACAAUAGUUGGAGUAGUUGAGGCUUGCCAUUCAUUGGGGGUGAUGCAUCGAGACCUUAAGCCUGAGAAUUUUCUUUUUGUCAAUCAACAAGAAGACUCACUUCUGAAAACAAUUGACUUUGGGUUAUCUAUAUUCUUCAAGCCAGGAGAAAAAUUUAGUGAUGUGGUUGGCAGCCCAUAUUAUGUUGCGCCAGAAGUUCUGAAAAAACAAUAUGGCCCCGAAGCAGAUGUUUGGAGUGCUGGAGUAAUUGUUUACAUUCUGUUAAGUGGAGUUCCUCCCUUUUGGGCAGAGACCGAGCAGGGUAUCUUUGAAGAGGUCCUUCAUGGUGAUCUAGACUUUUCUUCUGAACCUUGGCCUAGUAUCUCAGAUGGUGCUAAGGAUUUAGUAAGGAGAAUGCUUGUGCGAGAUCCUAGAGGGCGGAUAACUGCACAUGAAGUUCUGUGCCACCCUUGGGUGCAGGAAGAUGGAGUAGCUCCUGACAAACCUCUGGAUUCUGCUGUCUUAAGCCGAAUGAAGCAAUUUUCUGCUAUGAACAAGCUCAAGAAAAUGGCUCUUAGAAUCAUUGCAGAGAGCCUAUCUGAAGAGGAAAUAGCUGGGCUUAAAGAAAUGUUUAAGAUGAUAGAUACCGACAACAGUGGUACAAUUAGUUUUGAGGAGCUUAAGGCUGGAUUGAAAAGAUUUGGAGCAAAUCUCAAGGAAUCCGAAAUUUAUGAUUUGAUGCAAGCAGCUGAUGUAGACAAUAGCGGCACAAUUGAUUACGGGGAGUUUAUAGCUGCAACAUUGCAUCUUAACAAAAUUGAGAGAGAAGAUCAUCUAUUUGCAGCCUUUUCAUACUUUGAUAAGGAUGGAAGUGGCUAUA